ACUCAAAUGAAUAGACGGGGACUCGCACAAGCGGUGGAUUAUGUGGCUCAAUUCGUCGGCAAACGAAGAACCUUACCAAGGUUAGAAAUCCAGCUGCAUCCGACCCGAAAGGGACGGAGCCUUCGAGGGUGCUGGACAGGUGAUGCAUGGUCGUCGUCAGUUCGUGGUUUGAACUGUUCCCUUCAGUGGGGUAACGAACGCAACCCCCGUUGCCUGUUGUCUAUAUGACCAGGCGAGACUGCCCCCUCACGGGGGAGGAAGGUGGGGAUGACGCCAGAUCAGCAUGUCCCUCUGAUACCUUGGGCUGCACACAUAAUACAAUGGUCGGUACAACGGGAUGCAAUAUCGUAAGAUGGAGCCAAUCCUUAUAAAACCGACCCCAGUACGGAUUGAGGUCUGCAACCGACCUCAUGAAGCCGGAAUCGCUAGUAAUCCCGGGUCAGCCAAACCGGGGUGAAUACGUUCUCGAGUCUUGUACACACCGCCCGU
rnacentral:rRNA from 1 species